rnacentral:rRNA from 1 species
UAAGGAAUAUUGGGCAAUGGACGCAAGUCUGACCCAGCCAUGCCGCGUGGAGGAUGAAGGCCCUCUGGGUUGUAAACUUCUUUUCUCUGGGGCGAAAAACAGGUUUUCUAACUUGCUUGACAGUACCAGAGGAAUAAGCACCGGCUAACUCCGUGCCAGCAGCCGCGGUAAUACGGAGGGUGCAAGCGUUAUCCGGAUUCACUGGGUUUAAAGGGUGCGUAGGUGGGGAGGUAAGUCAGCGGUGAAAUCCCCGAGCUUAACUUGGGAACUGCCAUUGAUACUAUCUCUCUUGAAUACCUUGGAGGUAAGCGGAAUAUGUCAUGUAGCGGUGAAAUGCUUAGAUAUGACAUAGAACACCAAUUGCGAAGGCAGCUUACUACACGGUCAUUGACACUGAGGCACGAAAGCGUGGGGAUCAAACA